rnacentral:rRNA from 1 species
GAUGAACGCUAGCGAUAGGCUUAACACAUGCAAGUCGAGGGGUAACGUGUUGGAAGCUUGCUUCCGAUGACGACGACCGGCGGAUGGGUGCGUAACGCGUAUGCAACUUGCCUCACAGUGGAGAAUAACCCGGAGAAAUCCGGACUAAUACUCCAUACACUCUUAAGUACGCCUGUACAUGAGAGGAAAGAUUUAUCGCUGUGAGAUAGGCAUGCGUCCUAUUAGGUAGUUGGUGAGGUAACGGCUCACCAAGCCGACGAUAGGUAGGAGUGCUGAGAGGCAGAUCCCCCACAUUGGGACUGAGACACGGCCCAAACUCCUACGGGAGGCAGCAGUGAGGAAUAUUGGUCAAUGGAGGAAACUCUGAACCAGCCAAGUCGCGUGAAGGAAGAAUGUCCUAAGGAUUGUAAACUUCUUUAGCGAGCGAGUAAGGACUUCCACGUGAUGGGAGUUUGAAAGUAGCUCGAGAAUAAGUAUCGGCUAACUCCGUG